CUUCCGCCGGCGAUCGGCGCACGGGUGAGUAACACGUAUGCAACCUGCCCCUGUCAGGGGGACAACCCGCCGAAAGGCGGGCUAAACCCGCGUACAUGCCACCGGGGCAUCCCGGAGGCAGGAAAGGCUUCGGCCGGACAGGGAUGGGCAUGCGGCGCAUUAGGCAGUAGGCGGGGUAACGGCCCACCUAACCGACGAUGCGUAGGGGUUCUGAGAGGAAGGUCCCCCACACUGGUACUGAGACACGGACCAGACUCCUACGGGAGGCAGCAG
rnacentral:rRNA from 1 species